GUGGGACUUGCAGUCUCCGGUUCACAGAGUAACAUUGUUGCUUGCUGGCUUCUAUGGGAAAUGUAGGCAUUGACAAUGUUGUGUUAGGUAUAGGCCCGUCGUCCGUCACCAAUCAACCCGGUCCUCUCGCUUGCAUUGGUUGGCUGCUGUAUUAUGGGGAUGUCGUCAGCGUCUGGAGAGGGUCUUCAGGGGACACGUAGGUGUCGGGGUCCUCCUCUCCAGGAGUUUUGGGUUUACACUUCCCACAGCAGCAGUUGAAACAGCAGCACAGGCAGCAGCAGAAGUAGCAGCCUGUUAGCACGCCGCAGACCGCAAACAGACCCUGUGUGGAGGAUGGACAUAGACCGUUCACUAUUAACACAUGAACAUAGACUUUCCUUUUUCACACACACAUAAACACACACACUCAUGCACACGCACACACACACAAACCCACCUUUGCCCACCAACUGGAGAGCAUGAAAUAAGCAUUGACGUUCUCCUCUCCAAACUGCUGUGCCACGUACAGACCGAGGGAGCCAUAGCUGUCGUAGAUGUUCCUCUUGGAGGCAUCUGACAGCACGGAGUGGGCAUUGUUGAGCUCCUUGAAUUUAUCUGUGGCGUUUGGGUUCUCUGGGUUCUUGUCUGGAUGAUAUUUCAAAGCAAGUUUUCUAAAUAGUAAAAAAUAUUACAAAAUUGAAAAGAUGAUGCAAUCCGAAAGGCUUAGCUAACGGAAAUGUUGUUUGCAUUGUUACUGUCUUGUUAUUUUAUGGUCUUUAUCUAAUGUGUUCAGUAAGAGGCAGCAGUAUUAUCUCCCAUUAGGUGGGGUUAGAAGCCUGCUCCCUCACGCCCAUCAACACACACACCUGCCAGGCAUUGGUAUAUUAGUUCAAUGAGCCCAAAAUAGUUGUAAUAGCAUGUAUAGUACAAUUACAGAUCUUAGGACAGGCUCGAGAAUAUGUAAAUAUGUAACCUAUGGUAUAUAACUGAAACACUGAGCUAAAUGCUGGUGCCCAGUACUAUACAUGGUGCACCAGUUUGCCAUUUUGGAUUCAACUGCAGUUGUUUGUUUUCUGGCAUUAGGUCCAUUGGAACCCUUGGUUGACAGACACCAUGAAAUAAAUAUAACUACAGUCACUUUUACAUAUUUUCUUUUUCUUCUCAUUGUCUUUUUAUGCUGUAAAUUAUAA